rnacentral:tRNA from 1 species
UCCCUGGUGGUCCAGUAGCUAAUACUCCACACUCCCAAUGCAGGGAGUCUGGGUUCAACUCCUGGCCAGGGAA